rnacentral:rRNA from 1 species
GCGCGUAGGCGGCUCGUUAAGUGUGGAGUGAAAUCCCCAGGGCUCAACCCGGGAACUGCUUUACAUACUGGCGGGCUGGAGGAUUGGAGAGGCUUGUGGAAUUCCUGGUGUAGCGGUGAAAUGCGUUGAUAUCAGGAGGAACACCCAUGGCGAAGGCAGCAAGCUGGCCAAUUUCUGACGCUGAGGCGCGAAAGCGUGGGUAGCAAACAGGAUUAGAUACCCUGGUAGUCCACGCCCUAAACGAUGGAUGCUAGGCGUAAGGGGUAUCGACCCCCCUUGUGCCGCAGCUAACGCACUAAGCAUCCCGCCUGGGGACUACGGCCGCAAGGUUGAAACUCAAAUGAAUUGACGGGGACCCGCACAAGCGGUGGAGCAUGUGGAUUAAUUCGAUACUAACCGAAGAACCUUACCCAGACUUGACAUCGAGAGAAAAGCGUAGAAAUGCGUUCCCCGGCUCAAAAGGCCGGCUCAAAGACACUUGUUGCAUGGCUGUCGUCAGCUCGUGCCGUGAGGUGUACGGUUAAGUCCGCCAACGAGCGCAACCCACGUCCUGUGUU